rnacentral:tRNA from 1 species
GGUGGCUCUGGUAGAGCGCUUGCCUUGUAUGCAUGAGGCCCUGAGUUCGAUUCCUCAGCACCA